rnacentral:lncRNA from 10 species
UCCUCCCCAAUCUUCUGCGUCACAAAACUUUCCACUCCGGAAACGCAGCCUCCCCGGCUGCGGCGCAGGGCCCCCGGACCCUGCGGAACCUGGGCUGAAGCGAAAAAGCCAGCGGAAGGAACCCGGGAAAAAACAAGAAACCCAUUCCAUCCUCCUUUCCAGGCCUUCGCCCGCCCGAGACCCGCCGUCUCCCGGAGUUGGCCAAGUGGCUGGAAGUCCACCUACAAUGGGCAUGCCGUCCUGGAACAUCUCUCUUCUCUAUCUUGGAUUCGGUUCUAUGACGGAGUCUUACUGUAGCACCCAGGCUGGAGUGCAGGAGCACGACCUCGGCUUACUGCAACCUCGACCUCCUGGACUCAAGUGAUUCUCCUGCCUCAGCCUCCCAAGUUGCUGGGAUUACAGGCUCACGUCACCACACCUGGUCCCCCUAUGUUAUUGGGGACAGAAUUGUGCCCAGACAAGAAAAUGAUGUUUCCCAGCCUCCCCUGCAGCUGAGUGGGGACAACCAUUGAGAUGCCGUUGCAGGGCUCCGCUUUGGAGCGGGCAUUGGAGGAAUUCUUUGACCACCAAGCAGCCUCCAUACCUCCCUCCUACAUAACAGAGCCACCGAGAGGCUGUUUGCAUUCUGCCUGCUUUCUCUUUUUCCGUUGCAGUAGUUUAUUAAUUAGUGUGCAAAAAAUAAAAAGGAGGUAAUAACCUUAUUUAUGUGCUAGU